AGUUGUGACUCUGUGAAUUGUGACUUGGAACAGAAUGUAGCCAAUCAGAGAGUGAGCUGACUAGGGAGCAAGGAAGGAUUUAAAGUCCAUGUUCACGCUGUUAUUUUUUCAGUUCUG